GUUCACACGGUUAAUAUAUCUUCGUACAUCUCGAGGCAGUUAAAGGAGCUACAAAAGGACCCUGAGGAGACUUUUGAGGCCUUGGAUGAUGCAAUCCAUCAGGCACGGGAAGCGAUCAUGUGCUGGUUCUCCAUGAGGGUGAUUCGCAAGAGACAGACUAUAUCUACGACCCGGAAGAAUUUCAAAAUGUGCUGUUGCCGCUGUUCACAAAAAAGGUCCAUCAGGCAGGACCCCAAGGAGUCCCCUCAAAAUGACCCUGGACUCCCCGAAGCUUUGGAAGCCUUGAGGAAUCUCAAGCUCUCUUCUGGGUACCAAAGCAGAGAUGACACGUUAUAGGGUUUCUGACCUUUCAACUUCCUUGUUGGGGUGUAGGGAUCUAUUGCUUGGGAUUUGUGUCUUGUGUCUAUGAAAGGUACAUUCAUUAAUAAUAAAGUUUGCAUUCAUAGAAA